ACGGCUCAGUAAACGCAGACACAUGCCCAGGGGACGUGGAUAACCUCGGGAAACUGAUGAUAAACCGCGAUAGGUCAUCACUUCUGGAAUGGGUAAUGACUUAAAUCUUCUGGCCCCUUCAUUGAUUGGACUACCAUCGAUCAGGCUGUUGGUGAGUUAAUGGCCCACCAAACCUGUAACCGGUACGGGCUCUGAGAGGAGGAGCCCGGAGAUGACCAGUGAGACUAUGGAACGGGUCCUAUGGGUCCCAUCGCUGCGAAUACUCUGAAAUUCGCCAGAGCCGGACAGGGUUACUCUGAGUGACUUUCUAUAGAAAGUCUUUAGACACCUACAAAAAGGGUGGGGAAUAAGGGCUGUACGAGCCUGGUGUUGCCCCCGCGCUAGUACCAGCACCCACCGUGGUCGGGACCAUUAUUGGGCCCCAGAAUCCGUAGUCGGUUCUUCAAUUACCCGUUUAAAUCCAGCUACUAGACGAAUCGCCCGCGAAGGAUACUACAUAGCUAAGAGGCAGGAGAGGCAAGCGGGCAAUCGCCUGGGUAGGGGUGAAAUCCCUUUGAUCCAUUGGUCACUGCCACAUGCCGCACGCAGCUUGCCAUAAUGCGCUCAACCGAGACCUGAUUAUACCUGGGGGAGCAAACCACCUAAGAUACCCACGGUAGAUGCCAGCCGUAAACAUGCAGACUCGGGGAUGGUGAUCUAUUCGCGCUUACCCAGAUGCCGCCGGGGAUACCGUAUCUCUGCCGCCUGGGUAGUACGUUCGCAGCACUGAGACUUAAUUGAAUUGGCGACUUAGCACA
rnacentral:rRNA from 1 species